rnacentral:rRNA from 1 species
CUAAGCGGGAAACCAUCUUCAAGAUGAGGUCUCCACAAGAAGGACUUGUCCUUUUUGGUAGGCUCCCAGUAGAUGACUGGGUUGAUAGGCCAGGAGUGGAAGACUGGUAACGGUUUAGAGAGCUGACUGGUACUAAUAAGCCGAUACAAACAACAACAACCC